rnacentral:rRNA from 1 species
UACAGAGACUGCAAGCGUUAUUCGGAUUCACUGGGCGUAAAGGGUGCGCAGGCGGUUGGGUGUGUCAGAUGUGAAAUCCCGAGGCUUAACCUCGGAACUGCGUCUGAAACUACUCGACUAGAGUACUGGAGAGGGUAACGGAAUUCACGGUGUAGCAGUGAAAUGCGUAGAUAUCGUGAGGAACACCAGAGGCGAAGGCGGUUACCUGGACAGUUACUGGCGCUCAGGCACGAAAGCAUGGGGAGCAAAAGGG